rnacentral:rRNA from 1 species
AGAAUCAACGCUGGCGGCGUGCCUAACACAUGCAAGUCGAACGGGAAAGUGGAGCAAUCCAUGAGUAAAGUGGCGCACGGGUGAGUAACACGUGACUAACCUACCCUUGAGUGGGGGAUAACCUAGGGAAACCUGGGCUAAUACCGCAUAAUACCUUCGGGUCAAAGGAGCAAUUCGCUUAAGGAGGGGGUCGCGGCCGAUUAGUUAGUUGGCGGGGUAAUGGCCCACCAAGACUGUGAUCGGUAUCC